UUCGUGUCUGCCGAUGCCCGCAGCCCGGCCACAGCAUCCACAUGGGACAGCAGCAAUUCUGCCAUUUCGUUUAGAGACGUCAACCAGAGCUUUCCUCCGAUGGCGGCCGCCAAUCGCAUCUGCCAUCUUUGUGGGAACUUGGAAGGUCAUCAGCAAAAUGGAUUGAUUAGGUGUAUGGUACCUUCAUAAAGUACAUACAGAAGGAUGUGACUUGAAGAGACUCUUGCUUGAAGGCAUGGACGGCACAUGGGAGAAGACUUCCCUUCUAUUCCGCAAUUUAAAAAGUGGGCCAGGGUUAGAAUGAUUAUCCUUGGCUAGGACAUCCCAAAAACACCGUGUAAUGAAGUGGAAGCAGUAUGCCAGCUGUGCAAAUGAGCAGAAAUGCCUUGUGUACCUCCACUACUUGGUCAGGUUAUGAAUGACAAGUGGGUUCGGCUCUCGUCAAGAUGUAAGCAGAAUCUUGGAGGAGGUGAGGGAUGUUCCUACUGGCUCCAAUUCUUUUGGAGUUAAUUUCUAUCCUGUGGGGCUUAUAAGUUUGGCAUGCGACAAACGCUUUGUAUUUACUGUUAUUGUGUGUGAGAAUUCCUGCCGGUGCUUGUCCUUCCUGGAUAUUUAAGGGGCUGAAUGUGCAAGAAUGUUAACAGUGCUCCAGAAUAUAUAAGGCUGUGUGCACCAAUGUCCUUAUAUGCAUGUGUUGUGUAUUAUGAGUGUCACAAAAAAGCAGACCUCUCACAGGACUACGAGCACAAGGCUGUGUUGUCAUACCUUACAUGCACGUGUGUAUGUAAAUGCCAUUCCUAAAAGCAGAAUUGCAUCUUCAGGCGGCCAGAUUUAGGUACUCCAGUUAUGUCUGUAAUUACUGUCGUGGUUGGUUGUGUACUUUGGGCCCUUCAGCGUGAAGCAUAACUUCUCAUUUUUGAGUUAUAUAGCCAAGCAAUGUCAUAAUGGAAUGUACAAGGAAGUGGUCUCUAUCUCGUAGGCUCCCUGUUGGUGUUGCUGUUUGGCCGUGUUCUUCCCCCUUGAGGAUGCUGAUUUAUAAAUAUGGCAUUUAAAAGUAGAACAAGACUUCAGGCAGCAGGACCAUGGCUGUGAAAUUGGUCAUUUUAUUCUAAAAUUUGUACUUGUAUUGCCUGGUUGAAUAAAUGUCAUUUUGCUAA